CCCUUCUCAGGGUCGCACCUGGAGAGUUUCCAGUACUCCAUUAGUCUCGACUAUGGGAGGGAAAGUCAAGCAGAGGCCUAUCCAUUCCAUUCCUAGCUUGGACAGUGGCUAGCGAGUGGAAGGCAAUGUGCUGCAAGU